UGCUGACUCCUGCCUGCUUCUGUUGUUGUCGAUUCUGGAUGUGGACCUGCCACUGGUCCGAGGCUUCCUGGCUUUCACUGGACCUUUGGUUUCUCCAAGGAUUUCCUGAGUGCAGAGGAGAAUACCUGCUGCCAGCCACAGGAACACCUGCCAUGCCACCAAGGACGCCAUUCUGUCUGGCUGGAUGCCCUCUCCCUCAGUCUGCUCACCUGUGACGCCAAAAUACCACCUGUGGCCAUAGGAACACCUGGGACCACGUAUUCCCCUAAAGACUGGUCGAAGUUGGGUUCCAGAUCCAUUAUGCCAGAGAGUCGCUCAUGCCAUUCUGAGACCAGUGUAGGUCAUCGAUGCCUUCAAAGAAGCAGGCAGCUCCCUGGUUGCACCAGAAAGGGGCUUUCAUCUCCAGCCUGAGGGGAGGAAUACAGCGCUUACCAACUUCCCCAGUAAAUCUCCAUAUUUCCAUUCCCACACCGGCGUCUGCAGCCGAUAAAUGGAGAUGACGUCGUCGUCUUUCAUGGAGGGAAUCCGUCCAUCUGGGUCUCCGGUGGGACAGAACGGGUACAGAGCUUCACAAUAAGAGUCCACAUCAGGCCGAGAGUCAAACCGCCUGUUAAUGACACGAGAAAGAGGAAACGGUUUGUCACUGGAGUCACUCAGUCAUUCAGUUCACAUUUAGCCAACUUCUCAUUUCAGAACAUAAAACAUUGCACUGAAAAUAAACUAUUAAUUGCCUGGA